GACCUCAGAUCAGGCAAGGCUACCCGCUGAAUUUAAGCAUAUUAAUA
rnacentral:rRNA from 2 species